UACGUAGGUGGCAAGCGUUGUCCGGAUUUACUGGGCGUAAAGAGCGCGCAGGCGGUCGGAUAAGUCGAAUGUGAAAGCCCCCGGCUCAACUGGGGAGGGUCAUUCGAUACUGUUCGACUCGAAGGCAGGAGAGGGAAGUGGAAUUCCCGGUGUAGUGGUGAAAUGCGUAGAUAUCGGGGGGGAACACCAGUGGCGAAGGCGACUUCCUGGCCUGUUCUUGACGCUGAGGCGCGAAAGCUAGGGGAGCAAACGGGG
rnacentral:rRNA from 1 species